rnacentral:rRNA from 1 species
ACUUCGUGCCAGCAGCCGCGGUAAUACGAAGGGUGCAAGCGUUAAUCGGAAUUACUGGGCGUAAAGCGCUUUAAGUUGGGAGGAAGGGCUCAUAGCGAAUACCUAGUCGGAGUUUUGACGUUACCAACAGAAUAAGCAACCGGCUAACUUCGUGCCAGCAGCCGCGGUAAUACGAAGGUGCAAGCGUUAAUCGGAAUUACUGGGCGUAAAGCGCGCGUAGGUGGCUUGAUAAGUUGGAUGUGAAAUCCCGGGCUCAACCUGGGAACUGCAUCCAAAACUGUCUGGCUAAGAGUGCGGUAGACGGGUAGUGGAAUUUCCAGUGUAGCGGUGAAAUGCGUAGAUAUUGGAAGGAACACCAGUGGCGAAGGCGACUACCUGGACUGACACUGACGACUGAGGUGCGAAAAGCGUAGGGGAGCAAACAGGAUUAGAUACCCUGGUAGUCCACGCCGUAAACGGAUGUCAACUAGCCGUUGGGAUCCUUGAGAUCUUAGUGGCGCAGCUAACGCAUKAAGUUGACCGCCUGGGGAGUACGGCCGCAAGGUUGAAACUCAAAGGAAUUGACGGGGACCCGCACAAGCGGUGGAUGAUGUGGUUUAAUUCGAUGCAAACGCGAAAAACCUUACCUACCCUUGACAUGUCAAGAAUCUUGCAGAGAUGUGAGAGUGCUCGAAAGAGAACUUGAACACAGGUGCUGCAUGGCCGUCGUCAGCUCGUGUCGUGAGAUGUUGGGUUAAGUCCCGCAACGAGCGCAACCCUUGUCAUUAGUUGCUACGAAAGGGCACUCUAAUGAGACUGCCGGUGACAAACCGGAGGAAGGUGGGGAUGACGUCAGGUCCUCAUGGCCCUUAUGGGUAGGGCUACACACGUCAUACAAUGGCCGGUACAGAGGGCUGCCAACCCGCGAGGGGGAGCCAAUCCCAGAAAACCGGUCGUAGUCCGGAUCGCAGUCUGCAACUCGACUGCGUGAAGUCGGAAUCGCUAGUAAUCGCGGAUCAGCUUGCCGCGGUGAAUACGUUCCCGGGUCUUG